CCUGCCUCCCAGAGGCAUUGCAGGUGUGCCUUUUGUGUUAUGCGAGUGUUAGUAGGAAGAAGAGAAGAAAGAGACUGUGUCUAGCUCAACUCACUGUCCUGACCUAUGAUCAUCUGAAUGAUUAGUAGCAUAACAUU
ensembl:snoRNA Gm25436 predicted gene, 25436